GCACCACAGUUUGCGGACCUGUUGUCAGGAUUGGGUUGUUUUGGGUUUUUUCCCAAUUACCUUUUCAGCCAUCCUACCAAGAGCUGUAUAUUCGAGGGCAGUCUGCUGACAUUUUUUUCUUUAACCCCUUACCUAUUGAUCCACAUUCCACGGACAACCUGCUGUGGUGAAUGCACUGCUACGGUGCUGGAUGUUCCAGCUACAUCCACUUGGAAUAUACCUGCUGUGAAUUCCAGCAUGUCAGCAGUCCUAGCCAGAGUCUGAGAGCUCAUGAGAGGAGUGAAAACAAGACUGGAACAUGCCAUAACGCAGAACUCCAUCUUCACACCUACCCCCGUGUCGGAUCAACUGCAAUGGCUCUGGGCUCGCUUAGUAGAGUAUAUACCCAGAAACAUCACUCUGGCCCUGGAGCCCUUCAGCGUGUGCAGGUAUUCGUCUGUAGUCCCUGAGAAGAGCUUCUGACCAUCAAACGGGAGGUCCUCAACAGUAUUCCGAACCUCUCUUGGGAGCUCCGACAGUUGGAGCCAUGACGCCCUGCAUAUG